rnacentral:piRNA from 1 species
UAGACCAGAAUCAGAUGCCUUC